UACGAAGGUGGCAAGCGUUGUUCGGAUUUACUGGGCGUACAGGGAGCGUAGGCGGUUGGAUAAGCCCUCCGUGAAAUCUCCAGGCUUAACCUGGAAAGUGCAGAGGGGACUGUUCAGCUAGAGGAUGGGAGAGGAGCGCGGAAUUCCCGGUGUAGCGGUGAAAUGCGUAGAGAUCGGGAGGAAGGCCGGUGGCGAAGGCGGCGCUCUGGAACAUUCUGACGCUGAGGCUCGAAAGCGUGGGGAGCAAACAGG
rnacentral:rRNA from 1 species